GACGAACGCUGGCGGCGUGCUUAACACAUGCAAGUCGAACGGAAAGUCCCUGCUUAUGGGGGGUGCUCGAGGUGCGAACGGGUGAGUAACACGUGAGUAACCUGCCCUUGACUUUGAGAUAACUUCAUGAAACUGGUGCUAAUACCGGAUAGGAGCUCCUGCUGCAUGGUGGGGGUUGGAAAGUUUCGGCGGUUGGGGAUGGACUCGCGGCUUAUCAGCUUGUUGGUGGGGUAGUGGCUUACCAAGGCUUUGACGCGUAGCCGGCCUGAGAGGGUGACCGGCCACAUCGGGACUGAGAUACGGCCCAGCCUCCUCCGGGAGGCAGCACUGGGGAAUAUUGCAUAAUGGGCGGAAGCCUGAUGCAGCACAGCCGUGUGCGGGAUAUCGGCCUUCGGGUUGUAAACUGCUAUUCCCUGUGACGAAGCGUGAGUGACGGUAAUGGGUAAAGAAGCACCGGCUAACUACGUG
rnacentral:rRNA from 1 species